rnacentral:rRNA from 1 species
UGUUGGGGUAACGGCCCAACAAGCCUUUGAUCGGUACGGGUUGUGGGAGCAAGAGCCCGGAGAUGGAUUCUGAGACAUGAAUCCAGGCCCUACGGGGCGCAGCAGGCGCGAAAACUUUACAAUGCGAGCAAUCGUGAUAAGGAAACCCUGAGUGCCUGUCAAUGCAGGCUGUUCUGGUGUCUAACACACACCAGGAGAAAGGGCGGGGCAAGACCGGUGCCAGCCGCCGCGGUAAUACCGGCUGCUCGAGUGAUAGCCACUUUUACUGGGCUUAAAGCGUUCGUAGCUUGGUCGUUAAGUCUCUGGGGAAAUCUUUUGGCUCAACCAAAAGGCGUCUCAGGGAAACUGGCGAUCUUGGAACCGGGAGAGGUAAGACGUACUUCGGGGGUAGGAGUGAAAUCUUGUAAUCCCCGAGGGACGACCGAUGGCGAAGGCAUCUUACCAGAACGGCUUCGACAGUGAGGGACGAAAGCUGGGGGAGCAAACCGGAUUAGAU